UACGUAGGGCGCAAGCGUUGUCCGGAAUCAUUGGGCGUAAAGCGUGUGUAGGCGGCCUAGCAAGUCAGUUGUGAAAGCCCCGGGCUCAACCCGGGAAGUGCUUCUGAUACUGCUUGGCUUGAGUACUGGAGAGGAUAGUGGAAUUCCAGGUGUAGUGGUGAAAUGCGUAGAUAUUGGGAGGAACACCAGUGGCGAAGGCGGCUACCUGGACCGGUUCUGACGCUGAGGCGCGAAAGCGUGGGUAGCAAACAGG
rnacentral:rRNA from 1 species